GGUUAACCUUGGCUGUGCCGUCUCUCUCUCUGACUCUCUAAUGUCAAACCUUCACAGAAUCACUUCUCCUCUCAAAAUUAGAUCUGCUGCAGCGCCGCAGCACUCGACCGCCGCGCUCAUCGAUCUGAGUGAUGCGCCGAAAUGUUCCCGUUCCAUCCGUCAAACUUUUUUUCUGUCACGGUUCCUCGGUGAAGGACUGGACGAGGUCGCUCCUCUGCAUGUAAGGAUGAGAAACCGGUUUCCUUCAAGUGACGGCUGAGCAGCUGCUUCCUGAAAUCUGGACAGUAUUCUUACAGUUUUACAUCGCAGGAUAAUCAGGUGCAGUUAUGACAGAUCUCCUCUUGAUCUUAACAAAUCAAAACCUUAAAUAUGAGUCAAUUUAGUUCCCAAAAUUAAACAUGAACCUUUAGGACCUGUGUUUGUACAAAUAACGCAUCAGAGCGCUCUAACUUUAAAGCUUGAGGGUCACCAAAGAACGUGAACUUCAAAAUCAGAGGUCUAGGGGGGUAAAGAUCUUCAGAUUACAUUUAGUACUUUUUUUAAGACCUUCAGGCAGCUUAAAACUAUUUUCCCUAAUAUGAAAUACUCCAACUUUCUUAAGCCCCAGAAUAUAAACUAGACAGGUGAAUUUGUUUGACCACUUCCUGUCUUUAAAAGUUCCUAAAAUUACUCAAAUUAAAGAAAAAAUUUAUUGCAUCUUUUCAGAGACAGUCUGAAGAAACAAAAGUCAGUAAAGCAUCAUCACUGAAUAAAAACCAGCAGAACUAAUGUUCAUUAUUCAAACAUAAAACCUGUACAUGUCAGAAUAAAAUUUAACAGAAGAAGAAAUUUAAAAAAGUAACAUGAACAUAAGUGAGAGAAGCAAUAAAAACACAAAAAUCAUCCAUAUUUGAUCAUCUGACUGAGGCUUAAUUUAAUGAUUGUAUAUUAAAUGAUUUUAAAGAUGUUGUUUAAUGGUUUGGCCGUCCUCUAUUCUCCAUAAAUUGCAGAAAAAUAGAUUUUUAAUACUAAAACAAUAAAACUUAAGGAAUAAAGUAGCUGAGAGGACAGGAAUGGAAAACUAAGAUAAAAGCGAUCCUUGUUUGCGUCCUGAAGAAUAUUUCUAAAAUUAAAAACAAAUCUCAGAAGUGAUCUGGUCUGUUUUUAUUUUUUUAUUUUCUAAACUUUUUUGUCUACAAAUACUUAGAAGAAAUAAAUAAACAGGUAAAUACAAGAAUGAUGCUUCUAAGAUUACAUAACACACCAGUGAGUGCAGGAUGAGCAGACUACAGGGUGCAGUUCCCCUGUCAGACAGCAGGUGUCGCCCUGCUGCCAGUUCAACACUAAGCACUUCUUAUUAUUAUUAUGAACCAUAGUGUGUAAUUUGAUGUUCUCUGAUGUGGUUUUAGUUGUAUGUGUGAGUGACUUGUGUGCGUGUGUUUUACUUUUAUUAACAUGAUGUUGUUGCAUGAAAAUCCAGCCCCCCUGCAGCUCCCCUGUCAUAACUCUUGGUGCCUCUGCUUUUCUGAAUAGUCUUGGACACUGAUGGCAUGUGAUCGCAUCUUCACAUCAGAUUAAACAUGGAGAAAAACGGAGGGGUUUGGGGGAUUAUAAAAUAUUGUACCCUCGACACAGACAAGCAUCUUAGCUUGAGGGAGAAAUGACAUUUGGUUGAGUCAGAACAAGAUAUUUCUGCAAAAUGUCUUGCAAAGGUCUGGAUUAAAUAGUCAGGGGUUUGUUGUCUGUUUUUAACUAAAGCUCAGAGGAAUAUUUGGGCGUCUGAUAGUGUCUUUCCAACCAUGUGAGUCUGAGUCUAGCAGAGCGGAGCGUUCUUUCCAUGGCCUUGUAAAGAUCUGAGCUGAUUGCAGACGACUGAUUCUGAUGAUGUUGCUCUCAUUGUUGAGAGGAGGAAGAAAUCUUAUGACUUUUCCAACGAUGAGUGUGUGAGCAUCUCAGAGAUAUCGAUGAGUGUGAUGAGCAGACAGACGCCCUGCAGCUCAGAGGACAGAAACAUACAGAGACAAUCAGUUUAUGUGUUUGUUUGUGGAUGACCUUUGACUUUCCCUGGCUGACACCUGCACUGAGAAAUCCUGCGAGAAUAUCAUAGUUCAGGGUUUUGAAUCAGAUUCUUGAAAACCAUACACCUCUAAUAAUUAGGAAGAAAGAGAGAGAACAGACCAAACAAGUGAAGGUCUGUGUGCUGUGAGGAUGUAAACAAACUCUUCAUGAAUCACGUGUUUUGGUUUUGAUGCAGGUUGCAAUUUCAGGAAAGCUCUGCUGCUUGAACGUGGAUUCAGUCAGACUGUAGAGGUCAGGUUUUAUUUCCAGGGUUAGAUCUGGAAGCUUAAGUUAGUUUAGGUCGAGAGAGAAGAGGUAACUUUUUUAAUUUUAACUUUCUGCUGUCGCCGAUAACAAAUUUUCUCAUUUAAAGAAGUCAAAUUUUGCCCUCUUGUGAAAACUAUCCCAGACUAUCUCUUAUCAACGACAUUUUUCUCAGCAUUGAAAUUAGGACACUUUUUAAUAACUACUGAAUAUUUUAUUUUUAUGUGCAGCCAUCAAUAAAAAAUUGAACAUAUAAUGAAUUUGUUUUAUUUUGUCAUUGUCCAAUAAUCAGUUAAAUAACUGGAAAUAAAAUAGUGAUAAUAUCUAGCAUUUUUAAACGUCUUCUGGGAAAUGUUUUGAGCUGUUAUUCAUUAUAAAAAUUAAAAAUAGAGUUUUUUAAAAAACAUUUGUUUUAUGUGUGAUGAGUAAGUGCUGUCAAAGAUCGAUUUAAAAAUGAUUAUUUGUACGGCUAAAUCCUUUAAAAGAAACUGGUUUAUUUUUGUUAUAUUCCUAUUUUCACUUUCUUGGCUUUUUGAAUUCUUAUAUUUACUCAUCUCUUUUUUCUAUUCACAUCUUAAAUAUAUAAAAACACUAUAAAUUAAUAUUUAAGCAUUAGGAAAUAAUUAAAAUUAAAAUAUAUUUAGUUUUUGCCUUAGGAAAAUUAAAUUUGAACAUACUCUUUCAAAUAGUUCAGUAUUAUUUAUUGUCUGUGAAUUUGAGAUGAAUCAGGCUUUUAUUUAAAGAUGACUGCAGCAACAUUAGAAGAUUGACUCUAGAUUAAUUUCCCUUAUUAUGAUUUUAUUAUUAAAAUUCUUAUUUUGUAUAAAUAUACAUUUUAAAUGCAGCCAGGGUCAUGAAAUAUAUCUCCAAAACAUUUUUUUAUUUUUUAAAAACAGUGGCAUUUAUAAUGUAUGAAUCUGUGCUCACUAAAAUAAUAUUGACAUUAGACUGACUUAUAUUCUUGUAUUGGUCCGGCUGCUUUUAUUUAAAAAAAGUCUGUUUUUAUUUCCUGCUGUUUUCUAUUUUAUUUGUUUUUCCUUUAUUUGGAGAGUCAGUAUUUAAAAUUAACAUGAUUGUAAUUGAAUGGAUGAAUUUUGCUUUAAAAUAAAUCAAAAACACUUUCAUUCAGCUGAUAUGAUUUAAGGUAAACUAGUUAUCAGCCUCAGUGUUAUUCUGAUAAUUCCUCCUCUUUAGACAGAAACACGUCCCGUCAGUAAAUAAAAGGGACCAGCUCGUCUCUCAUCACCUCUGACCUCUGACCUCUCAUACUUGUGGCUGUUUACUGCUGAAGUGUCUCUGGGUCAGGGAGUCAGCUGACUGACCGCGGAGUGAAAACAAGAAGGGACAUGUUUUUACUCCUUUGACCAGCAGGUGGCGCACAGCUUAAAGGCCUAGAAACAUCCACCAGGUCUGCUGUUAGAGCCAGAAUUUGGAAUAUUUUUUUUUUUUUCCCUUUAAAGUUUCACAAAAUAAAAAAAAUGUUUCUGAUUAAAUUUAAAUAAUUGUGUGAAGGUCAGGAACAGUAAAUUAAAAUCUCGGAUUUAAAAUAAUCUUCAUCCUCGUCCUGCUCGUCAUACUCUCAUCAUAUCUGUUCAUAAAUCAGCUGCAGAAUAACCUCCUUUAAUCAUUACUCUCUGUGUGAUUAAUAGAAUUAAAUUAGCGGUAAUAAAUAAUAAUUUUCUUAUUUAAUUAUUCAUGUGUCAUUAUCGUAUUUCAAAAGGACAGUCAUAUUAACCAGUGUCUGAUUUGUAAUACCUCUGUAUAUUCAAACAUGAUUUUAGUUCGUAUCUUAAGAGUUCAAAAGUCUUUUUAAAGUUUAUUUAUUUUUGAAAUGAAACAAAGUGAAACCACUUUAGAGUCUAUAAAUCCUCCAGAAGACUAAAAACAAAAGCUUAUUGGCAGACAGAACUCUGAAUUAAUAUUUAUUUUUAGUGAUUUCUAAAGCAGAACCAUCGGGCACUGUUGCAGAAAAACUCAAAUGGUUGUUCAUAUUGAUUAGAAGUGAACAGACUAUUAUCCUUACAGUCAACUGUUGUACGUUUAUCACUCUCACUCUCCAGAGCUGCACUAUAAUUCAGGUUUUUACAGGCAGAUGUUCAGAUGUCUUCACCAGUCUUACAGAUUUUCCCUCCCAGACCUCAGACGUUUUUCCUUAUCCUGUUUUGUGUCUCUCUACCGGCUUCCAUAUUUUUGCUUCAUGUGUUACAAAAGCUUGCAGCUUCCAUGCUGAUAAAUCAUCUGAACAUUGUAAGACAUACCUGCGGAUGUGUAAGUGACACAAAUAUGGCAUGAGUAUUUGUGUAAAGUUAAUUUCUCUACUUGUAUUAUCAUAACCAGACCAGCCUGUACUUCUCGGUGUCAGAGGGGUUAACCAAGCAGUGUUGUAGAUUUCAUUAAAAAAGGUUGUAAUUAUAGGUUUUCAUCAGUGAUAAAAAUGUAGUGAUUAAAGGGCUAAAAUUCCCUCUUUAAUAACAUAAAUUCUUAUGUGUGGUUUUCAUUAACAGAAUGAGACUGAAGUCUUAGUGUUGGACCAUCAGACGUUCAAAAUCCAUUGAGUGUUCCCUCAUGGCUCAUCUUAUCAGUCUGAAUACAGUCAUUGUGUUUCUCUAACAGGCUGACUUGGUUAAAGAGUUCAGCGUUAAAUUUUGCAUCUUAUCUGGAACAAGUUUGCUGCAGGUUCAAAUCCUUCAGGAUUUCCUUUUAUUGUCAUAAACGAUUAUUUUCCUGCUGAAUGUCAGUGAGAGUCACAACCAGGUGAUAACAGACGCUGAUGUUUUCCUCUGAUGUUACAGUUAAUAAUCCUGUAUCGAACUGUAGUAAAAGAGCAGUACAGGCCUUAUGUUCAUUUUAUCUUAAUCUGUGUGUAUUAAACUGUUCUCAGUAAUUUAGCAGGAGAAGAGUCGAGGUUAGAUGAUCAGAUUAAGUGAAAGAGAGAGAAUUGUUCCUGACAGAUUUUAGUGAAAAGAAAGAAAAUUAUUUGGCUGAAUAUGACCAACAUGUAACAUAAAAAGUAAUUAGGAAUAAAAACUGCAUUUUGGAUUAUUCUGGAGUUAGGGAUGGAGAAAGAAGAAUCAAUCGGCUGCUGUUCAAUCAGGCCAGAUUAAUGGCAUUUUUAAUAAUCGUCAUCGGCUCUCACUCCACUGAUAUCUUUUAAAAACACAUUUCUCUAAUCCCCGAUGACAGAAAAUUAAUUUAAAACUAAUGUUUGGUGUAAAUUCUGUACUGAUGGAGUUUAACUUAGCUUCAGACAUGGUCUUAAACCGAAACUGGUUAAUUACUGACCAUAAUAACUGUGUAUACGACAUUUGAAUAUGCUUGGAAUAAUGGAUUUAACUUUUUUUAUUUCUAAUAUUUAACUUUUUGAAGUCAAAAGUCCCUUUUAGGUAUUUUAUUACUCAGCCAAAUAUUUUCCUUCUUAUUUAUUUAUUAAAUUUUUACUUUCAGAUCUUUUCCUUCGUCCAAAAAACAGUAAACAAACAAACAAAUGAACACUUUAUUAUUUUGAGCCAACCUGCUCUCUCAUUAUCGGUACCGGUAUCAGGCCUUGAAUCAUCAAACAGUAGAUUGGCUAAUAUGCGUACACCCUUCUCUGGUUUCUUGCUCUAACACAGUUUUAUAGACGUGAAAAUCAAGAUAAAUACCAUAAGAAGAAGAAGAGGAGGGAGUGGGGGGAUUAGAAGACAGGGUUUCUGUUCACUGCAGGGUUCAAGACGAAAAGAGGGAGUAAAAGAGGGAGAGAGGAGGGAGAUACUGUAGAGAGAGGAGGGAAGGACGGGGUCAAAGGUCGCUCAUUUUUUAUCCAUUACUGCUCAGGGUCACAUUCUGGGCCAUGUCUGUGUGUGUGUGUGUGUGUGUGUGUGUGCGUGUGUGUGUGUGUGUGUGUGUGUGUCAAUCAUAACCAGAUAACCAGAUUAGAUCCGUUCUCACAAGUUUGUCUCCUCCAUCUUUCUUUCACUGACUAAAAAUAGCUUCAGCGUUUGUGUCUGUGUGUGUGUGUGUCUGAGGAGGAAAGGAGGAGGAGGAGGAGGAGGAAAAGGAUGAAGGCCGAGGAGGCGAAGAUGGAGUGGAGAGGAAGAGGAGAAGAAGUGGGCGAGAGGAGGAGACGGCGGGGAGGAGGUGUUUGUAUUUGACCGUGGGAUGACCUCCUCCCCGUCACCCGCUCACCUCUCCUUCACCUCCCUCCCUCCAUCCUUCAUCCUGGACAGAGGAGGCCCUACACACACACACACACACACACACACACACACACACACACACACACACACACACACACACAGCGUGGAUUGUCCUGGCAGUGACCUCUGCUCUGCUCAGCAGGAAUGUUGAAGGAGAGGAUGAGUGAACGACUGGGCUGCACACACAAACACAAAGGAGACAUACCAUACACACACACACACACACACACACACACACACACACACACUGAGUCAAAGACAUACACACACAUGCGCUCACACACACACACACACAUUUGGUUGCAAAAAUGUAAAAAUAGAAGAAAAUCUUUGAUAUCAGUGUGCGGGUUUCAGACGAGGAAAGAAAAGGUGUUGUGCACGUGCAAAAGGAAAUCUAACACACACACACACACACACACACACACACACUCAGGAUGAUAUAUGGGGAGUAAUCCACGGUGAGACCUGUAUAUACACACAGACAAUCAAAGGCAUGAGGCACACACACACACACACACACACACACGUUGAGGUGUUUAUGCAGCGCAGAUGUUGAACAGGAAACGAGCUGCGUUCAGGGACACAAACACACAGAGGAGUUCAUCUUAUUGAUCCUUCUGCUACAGUACCAAUCAAUACACACCUACUGUAUGUGCGCACACACACACACAUGCAGAGUCCUGGGGGAGUCAGGGGUCAGAAAUCAAUCUGAGGUCAAUCUGUGAGGCUGCAGUCACGCAGAGGGCAAAGGUCAGCCAGAGGGCACGUACUGUCAGAGAGCUAAGUAGCUGCAACAUGACGGGGGAUUAUACAGUUUUGCGAUAACGACAACACAUACACCCUGAGAUUUUUUUAAUCUUAGUGGGAAUUUUUGAGUUUUUUUAAAUCUUCACUUGUCUUGUACAGUAACCAGUGUAUAAGUUUGUACAUCAUCACCAUGACUAACUCUAAAAGCGCCGAUAAAGAAAGUUUAACUUGAGAUGAUAGCUCAAAACUCCACCUGAUCCUGACAUGGUCACACCUGAAGCUUGAAGUGUAGGUCUCCUGUUUACCAAAACGCCUCAGCUACAGCGAACAGUAUCUGCUUAAUCAUCCCCCUGCUUCACAAUUACAUUUAUAUUGAGCUAAAUGAAUCAUGUCUUCACGUAUUUCAGGUCAAAACUGGUCAAAUAGGAACAGUACUCAGCCCUGGGUUACUUGCAUAUAUAAUGCAAUAAUAUACAGUAUUUUUUCCUCUGAGGAUCCUGAUGCAAACUGUGUAGAAACAUACACUUAUACACACAAAUACACACAUAUAUACAUACUAAAGCUUACAUCAGAGGAGCCCCACGGUCAUUAUAACUUAAAUUAUAACUUAAAUAGCAGGUUAUAAUGAAUAUCGGUGCUGCAGAUCAGAAAAUCAAACAGCUUUAUGACAAACAGAACGAAUAUAACGCUCCGUAAUAUUUAUAUUUCUAUAUCAUCUGGAAAACUGCACAUAUUCAUGCUGUCUGUAAUUUUAUUUUCAAUCAUUUUACAAACAUGAAAGUGUUUAAGGAAACAAUGUGUGUGUGUGUGUGUGUGUGUGUGUGUGUGUGUGUGUGUGUGUGUGUGUGUGUGUGUGUGUUUAUACGCAGUGUUAAACAGUUUCAAAUGAGUCAUUACACUUGUUAUGAAAAGCAGCAUGCAUGUGUGUGCGCCUGCAUGUAUGUGUGUUUCCACAUGUGUGUGUGCGUACUGUACGUAUAUAUGUGUGUGUGUGUGUCACCAUAGCUACCCCGGCUCCAUAUAUUUCCCUACCAAAGCAGCAGGGAGCCUCAGACUGCCAUCCAUCUCUCUCUGCAGCCGCUCAGCGUGUGUGUGUGUGUGUAUGUGUGUGUGUCUGACCUCCUGAUGAACCAGCCUCCGAUUGCUACCCCAUCAUCCUUCUGCAGCACACACACACACAUGCACACACACACAUGUAUGGAGGUGCUAUAAAACAUACAGUAUGUAUGAACAUGACGACACACACAGCAGCGUGAAGG